GAUCCUGGCUCAGGAUGAACGCUGGCGGCGUGCCUAAUACAUGCAAGUAGAACGCUGAAGGAGGAGCUUGCUUCUCUGGAUGAGUUGCGAACGGGUGAGUAACGCGUAGGUAACCUGCCUGGUAGCGGGGGAUAACUAUUGGAAACGAUAGCUAAUACCGCAUAAGAGCAGUUGUUGCAUGACAGCUGUUUAAAAGGUGCAAUUGCACCACUACCAGAUGGACCUGCGUUG
rnacentral:rRNA from 1 species